AGUGGCGGACGGGUGAGUAACGCGUGGGUAACCUGCCUCACACAGGGGGAUAACAGUUGGAAACGACCGCUAAUACCGCAUAACCCGCUGGUAUCGCAUGAUACUGACGGAAAAGAUUUAUCGGUGUGAGAUGGACCCGCGUCUGAUUAGCCAGUUGGCAGGGUAACGGCCUACCAAAGCGACGAUCAGUAGCCGGCCUGAGAGGGUGAACGGCCACAUUGGGACUGAGACACGGCCCAAACUCCUACGGAAGGCAGCAG
rnacentral:rRNA from 1 species